AUGGACAGCAACCAGCCCGCACGACCACGUUCGCGCGUGCAAAGGCACGGCCCGCACGUCCGGUGUGUGGCAACCCAGCCCGGACGUGCGGGCCACAGGACCCAACAGCCCGCACGAUCCAGCCGUCCCGGCCUCUUCUCCCACCUGCCGAAUCCCGGCUGCCGCCAUCCUCUCCCACCUCCCGAACCCCUACCUCCAUCGCCGGCCUUCUCUGGUUGCCAUGGCAACCAGAGCAGAUCCGUAGGGCAAUCCCACCGCAAACCACACCCCCACCCUCCCCACCCACCCCCACCCCCCACCCCCAAUCCAACAACGCCCUCCAAAGAAGACCAGCUACAAGCAGUUGCCAAGCAGAGUACACUAGAUCUGCCAUGUACUACGUUUGAGAUAACCGCCAGAAACGCCCCCUUGGGAUGCAUCAGAAUACAGCUCAUUUCUACAGGGCCGUUGCUGCCACUACUAGAACAGUACGCAGUCAUUGGUUCUUAUAACCAAAACACACUGAGGGGGGCACCAUGGCAAGUUCAGCCACAUGACGCUAACACUGACAAAUGGCAUCUACUGACUACAACUACAGUGCACAGCGGGGUAGGGGCAUCUACUGCGGGAAGCUCUGAGCGCACGGAAGACGCGGUCCUCCAGCCAGCCACUAGUCAUGCCGCAAACAAUACCGAGUCAGAGUCAGAAAUGGCAAUCAUUCCUGCAAUGCCGACAAGCACCCCUUUGAACACAAGCACUGGGAACACUCAAGUAGAUCAAACUGCCACCGAUACUGAAGUGAAUCAUGAAACUGAUGACGAAGCACAAUGGGAUGAAGAUGGUGGGCAAUCAGAGAUCAUGGUACCUCAGCCACUGUACGUUGGGCAGAGAUUUGAAUUGUUCGCAGAAGCAAAGGAAUUCUACCAGACAUAUGCAAAGUUCCAUGGGUUUGCGGUCAACAUCGAAUACCAUAGGAAGAUUAAGAAAACAAACGAGUACAACAGAGGUGAGAUGAGGUGCCACAAGGCACGAAGGAACAAGAAGGGGAAAGGUGUUUCGCCUGUCGUUCCGGAACGAAAGAGAGGAAUCAUUCUCAAGACGGAAUGCUCUGUAUGGUGUAAGCUAAACGUAGAUGGAGCACAGUGGGUGGUGACUGAAUAUUUUGACGAGCACAACCACCAACUCAUAGAGAAGUUCGACCUGGUGAAGUUUCUGACCGCCCACAGAGGAUUCACCCCACUCGAGAAGAAAUUCAUAAAGUUGCUACAUGAUUGUAAUGUCGGUCCAUCAAGAAUGCAAGAAGCAAACACCGCACUGAAGCAGCCAAAAUUGCUAACGUAUUUACCGAUGGAGAGGCAAAUGAGCAAGAUAUACACCAACAAGAUCUUUAACAAAUUCCAGGAAGAAAUAAAGCGCGCCAGCAUGUUCACGGCUUUCCAGGUGGACGAACAUACGUUCAAAGUGUGUUCUAUUUUGGGCAUGUCAGAUUCAAAACCUGAUGACCCAAACAAGGGAAGGAACUACUUCAUGAAAGCCUCGAUCGGCCAAGGCGAAUACUACUGCCAAUGCUGCAAGUUUGAACGGGAUGGCAUUGUGUGUCGUCACAUACUAGAAGUAAUGGACAUGAAUGCGGUGACACGGAUGCCCCGCCAUUUCAUAAGACGGCGAUGGACUUGGGACGCUGACGACGCAUUGGCGCCGCAAACAACAAACGCAAUUCUGGCUGUGCAUGACGAGAGACCAGAGUCAACCAUGGAAGCUGUGAGGCACGUUGUGCUGACAAAGAAUUAUGCUGAGCUAAUUGAUGAAGCAUGCAAGAGUGAUGAGACAGCGAGAGUCACAGAAAAAGACAGGAAGGCCCUAAAAAGAGAGCUUGAUAAGAUCAAGAAGAGGAAAGCUGAGGAAGCCUUACACCGGUUCCCCCGCACGUCAAGUGUGCCUUCGUCCACGAGGCCAUCAUCAGAAAACUCAGAAAUAGGAUCUGGAACAGCAAGCACACAAACCCAGGCCAGGAACCCGCCCCGAUCCAUCACAAAGAGGCGUCCAAAAGAGAAAGAUACAAAUCGGGAUUAG
rnacentral:rRNA from 1 species